ACCUGGAUAGCUCAGUUGGUUAGAGCAUGGUGCUGAUAAUUCCAAGGUUGCAGGUUCGAUCCCCGUGUGGGGCA
rnacentral:tRNA from 1 species